rnacentral:rRNA from 1 species
UACGUAGGGGGCAAGCGUUGUCCGGAAUCAUUGGGCGUAAAGCGCGCGUAGGCGGCCCGGUAAGUCCGCUGUAAAAGUCAAAGGCUCAACCUUUGAAUGUCAGUGGAUACUGCCGGGCUAGAGUCCGGAAGAGGAGAGUGGAAUUCCUGGUGUAGCGGUGAAAUGCGCAGAUAUCAGGAAGAACACCCGUGGCGAAGGCGGCUUUCUGGGACGGUACUGACGCUGAGACGCGAAAGCGUGGGGAGCGAACAGG